rnacentral:snoRNA from 1 species
UGACAGGCUUUCCACAGACAUGUUUGAAGAUUAACAUGUUGUUUUUAGACUGUCAUACAUUAAAGAAAGCAUUGCUUCACCCAGUUUGUUUAGAUCUUAUCAAGGCGAUAGGAGGUAACAGACUGGGAUUUGUGGGUGCUUACAUAU